AGGCCUGGAAUCCAACUUGUGCAGGUUUUUCACCCCCUGGAGAGAUAUAGAAAGUCUGCUGAAGUGCUCGCUAAGCUCCCAAAAAGGCAAUGCCUCCCCUGUGUAGUUGAAAACGUUAACAUUUGCAAUUAUCAGCUCAAGUUUUAGGACAGAGUAAAGUGAUCUAGUCUUGGAGAGAAAGGGUAAGAGGGCUACUUUUUGGCUUCCAGGAGUUAGACAGUACUCUGGUAAUGGCAGGAGCUAUUAUUAAUCCUCUUGGUCAAACUUCCUUCUGCAUGCCUGGGAUCACGCCCUUAUGAACCCCAGUCCACUUUAUUGGGUUUUUUUCCCUCCUCGCAUGAUCUCUCUAAGCUAUUAAAGCCCUAAAUUCAUUCGUUGGAGUUCUGGGGGGGAAAAACGGUCCUUUUUUAUAAAAUGAAGGAGAAAGACAAUCUAUAUUCCCUGAACUCAGGAGCAAAGCAUCUUUUGUCUACAAACCCUUUUCUUCCGAGAAUUGUAUGUAUUACCAAAGCAUGA
rnacentral:lncRNA from 1 species